UACGUAGGGGGCAAGCGUUGUCCGGAUUUAUUGGGCGUAAAGAGCGUGUAGGCGGCUUUACAGGUCCGUUGUGAAAACUCGAGGCUCAACCUCGAGACGCCGGUGGAAACCGUAAGGCUAGAGUCCGGAAGAGGAGAGUGGAAUUCCUGGUGUAGCGGUGAAAUGCGUAGAUAUCGGGAGGAACACCAGUGGCGAAGGCGACUUCCUGGCCUGUUCUUGACGCUGAGGCGCGAAAGCUAGGGGAGCAAACGGG
rnacentral:rRNA from 1 species